CUAAGGGUUCCUGAGGAAGGUUCGUCCGCUCAGGGUAAGUCGGGACCUAAGGCGAGGCCGAAAGGCGUAGUCGAUGGACAACAGGUUGAAAUUCCUGUACCACCGUAGCCGCAAUGUCCUUUCAAAUGAAGGGGCCCCGCGAAAGUAAUCGGAAUUUGCUUCAAAGCGUUCCUUCACUUUCGUGGGCAAAUUAGCGAUGGAGUGACGCAGAAGGAUAGUGACGCAGACUGAUGGAUGUCUGUCCAAGCAGUGAGGCUGGUGUGUAGGCAAAUCCGCACACCGUAAGGCUGGGCUGUGACGGGG
rnacentral:rRNA from 1 species